rnacentral:rRNA from 1 species
UACGAAGGGUGCAAGCGUUACUCGGAAUUACUGGGCGUAAAGCGUGCGUAGGUGGUUUGUUAAGUCUGCUGUGAAAGCCCCGGGCUCAACCUGGGAAUGGCAGUGGAUACUGGCAAGCUAGAGUGCGGUAGAGGGGUGUGGAAUUCCCGGUGUAGCGGUGAAAUGCGCAGAUAUCGGGAGGAACACCAGUAGCGAAGGCGGCACUCUGGGCCGGUACUGACGCUGAGGAGCGAAAGCGUGGGGAGCGAACAGG